rnacentral:rRNA from 1 species
UGGGAUAAACCAAUAAGACGAGAAGACCCUAUGGAGCUUUAAUUAACUGGCCUACAUAUAAGAAUUAUAAACCGACAGGUCUAAAACUUAUGAUAACUAGACCAGCAAUUUUGGUUGGGGUGACCUCGGAGUAUAAAAAAACCUCCGAGUGAAAAAAUUUAGACUUACAAGUCAAAAUAAACAUCACAUAUUGAUCCAUAAUGCAUGAUCAACGGAACAAGUUACCCUAGGGAUAACAGCGCAAUCCUAUUCAAGAGUCCAUAUCGACAAUAGG